rnacentral:misc_RNA from 1 species
CUCAGUUCACCCUCUACAUAAUCGUAAUGCCAUAAACUCAAAUAGGAGCUUAAAUCCCUCAUUCAAUUUCAUCAAAUAUACAUAUAAUAAUUUUACAGAUCCAACACGGCAAUUGUAAUGCAGACCCAAAUCAAAUUAAAUACUUAUAACACAUGCGAAAUUCUAGGAGUUAGAAAAAAUUAUGCAAACAUCAUAAACAUUAAUGGAUGACCUGCGAGGAAGAGGUAGAUUAGAACUCUACGAAAAGUCUCUUGUAUCCUUAAUCAGCCGCUUGAACCACAAUCCUGAACUCCACUCCAUUGAACUCAUCACGCUCUCUGUAUAACUGGAUGGUGUCGCCAACUUUGAGGUCCCAAUAACGAACAAACGCAAGCCAGUUUCUGCAAGCAAUAAAAGGUCUUGGAUGCCCAUUUCGGCGAAUGGAACGCUCGAAACUCCAGAAGAAUCCGUUGUGGUCCUUGGCUGCAAUGCACACCAAAUGGCUGUCUCCGAAGUUUGGCAAAAGUUUCAAGGCCUCUAUUGGUAUUGCUAGCCUUUUAGCAAUAUCUGUUUUGGUUAGAGGUUUGGUGAAAAUGGUAUUAGUAGCCAUGAAGCGGCUUUGCCGUUGCCGAUGAGAUGUAGUAAUAGGGAACAACGGGAUAGUAAGCAAGCCGGAGUCAAAUGCACCAUGGAAUUUUGUUAGAGAUUGUGUGUGUUUAUAUAUUGAAAAGGAGAGUGAUUCAAAAAGGUUGUGACCUUGCGGGCCUCAGCAGGCUGUUUCUACAGUCCUUGACCCGAUCGGAUUAUUCGUUAAUGGUUGAUGGUCUUUUGUUUUUCUUUUAUCAUUGCAGUAUUGCAC